rnacentral:rRNA from 1 species
GACGAACGCUGGCGGCGUGCUUAACACAUGCAAGUCGAACGGAAAGGCCCUGCUUUUGUGGGGUGCUCGAGUGGCGAACGGGUGAGUAACACGUGAGUAACCUGCCCUUGACUUUGGGAUAACUUCAGGAAACUGGGGCUAAUACCGGAUAGGAGCUCCUGCUGCAUGGUGGGGGUUGGAAAGUUUCGGCGGUUGGGGAUGGACGCGCGGCUUAUCAGCUUGUUGGUUGGGUAGUGGCUUACCAAGGCUUUGACGGGUAGCCGGCCUGAGAGGGUGACCGGCCACAUUGGGACUGAGAUACGGCCCAGACUCCUACGGGAGGCAGCAGUGGGGAAUAUUGCACAAUGGGCGGAAGCCGGAUGCAGCAACGCCGCGUGCGGGAUGACGGCCUUCGGGUUGUAAACCGCUUUCGCCUGUGACGAAGCGUGAGUGACGGUAAUGGGUAAAGAAGCACCGGCUAACUACGUG